rnacentral:lncRNA from 1 species
CUGUAAUUUUUUAAGAUGCCUGAGAAUAAGACGUCAGAAUUGUGAAAUCUCAUAUUUAUUUUAUUACAGGAAUCUGACGGACAGGAAUAAAAUAUGCUCGAUUUGGGUAGAGCCUAAUGCUCGAUUUGGGUACCGAAAUAAGAUAUCAAACCAUAAGUUAUUGGGUGUGAAUAUUUUCUUUUGUGAUUGAAAGUUAGAAGUUUGAUUUUAAAAUAUUAAAGAAUUUUCGCAUCCAUAAUUUGAUAAGAAUAUUAUAUUUAGUUUUACAAGGUGAUUUAUUUUAUUCUAAAAUUAUAACUUGAAAUCAAAUAUAGCAUUCACUCUAAACAUUUUUGAUCAUAUUCCUCAUGGACCAAAUAUGUCAUGCUUCUAAACAAGGCCUAAAACUCUAUUAUAAAUAAAUUAUAAAUAAUUGAUAAUUAUCUAUAUAUUCCUCAAAACUUUUAAAAUAUUUUCUUUUUUUUUGUUUCAAAUAUAUUACUCGUAUAUUUCUUCGUUAUUCAAAAAUAGCUCUGUUAUUAGUAUUCGUUAAGUCAUCUCAGAUUAAAACUAGGUUAAAUUUCUACUAGAAUUAAAAAGAAGUUAGAAUAUCUCUCUUGUCCCUAAUUUAAGGACAAAUAAGAAAAAUUGAUAAUAAUAGAAGAGUAUAUUAACCGACCGUCCCUAAAGCAAGUGGCAAAGGGUUUGGUGGUUGGUACCCGAAACCCAAGUUCGAAUCCUAGUUGAUUCACAUUUCCAGCUAAGUUUAUUUCUAAAUGAAAUAAACGAAGCGGGUAGCGUGCUACCUAUUUCUUAAAAAAAAAAAAAGAAAAAAAAUAUAAUGAUAGAAGAGUAUAUUUGAAAAGACAAAUAUCAAAAUAUUUUUUUUGCCCUUAACUUAAGAGCAAAUAAAAAAAAUUAGUGACGAUGGAAGCGUAUAUUUGAAAGAAAAAAAUAGUAAUUUUACAGAGAUAAUGAUUAUUCCUAAUAGCUCACUAAUAGAAUCUAACUCCAUAGUUAUAUUUGAAACAACUUGAAACAUUACAAACAAUAUAUUUUUUUUAUAUUAGCCUUCUAAGUAGGAUAAAUUAGAAUGCCUGAAACUUUUUAGAGUUAUAUGAGCAAUUGCCCCAGUAAACAAAUAUUUUUUUUUUAGAAAAGAAUAGUGCACCAGUUUCAUUCAUUCGGAAAAUAAACUUAGCAUAAACAGCGAGACAACUAGCCCUGUAAAUAAAUAUUCAUAAUCACAUAUUAGGUGAGAUGCACUACAAAGAUCAAGGCUAAUAGCCAACUAGGAAGGUUUUAGGAGUCUUUGCUCUCACCCCCAACUGCAAACUACCCAAAAUAAUGAAAUAAAGAGGCAAAGUGUACAAAGACCUCUGAAUUGUGUGGCAAACACUCAUCUGAAUUUUUAAUUUUAACAAUUAGAACCGACCGUCCCUAGAGCAAGUGGCAAAGGACUUGAUAGUUGAUACCCGAGACCCAAGUUCGAAUCCUAAUUGAUUCACAUUUCUAGCUAAAUUUAUUUCUGAAUGAAAUAAACGAAGCGGGUAGCGUGCUACCUAUCUCUCAAA